rnacentral:rRNA from 1 species
CACGUAGGGCGCAAGCGUUUGUCCGGAAUUAUUGGGCGUAAAGAGCUCGUAGGCGGUCUGUUGCGUCCGCUGUGAAAAACUCGGGGCUUAACCCCGAGCCUGCAGUGGAUACGGGCAGACUAGAGGUAGGUAGGGGAGAAUGGAAUUCCCGGUGUAGCGGUGAAAUGCGCAGAUAUCGGGAGGAACACCGGUGGCGAAGGCGGUUCUCUGGGCCUUACCUGACGCCUGAGGAGCGAAAGCGUGGGGAGCGAACAGG